GGCAUUCGGUAAAAUACAAUGGGGCUGC
rnacentral:piRNA from 1 species